UUUGUGUCUUUACCCAUGUAUAAUGUGUGUGCAAAGUCAAUUAUGUCUCCAAGAAUAAUUGAUAAGUCAUAAAGUGUCUUAGGUGGUAAAAUUUAUCUUCUUCUACGUAGGUCCGUCUCUAGCCCAUAUGGUUUAUGGUUCUAUCCCCUGUUCGGGAACGUGCUAGGCGCUAGUCGGGCGGUCGGGUUGAGCCUAGCGCCUAAAGAGAAAAUCGGAGAUUAAUCUAAAAUUAUGCGGGGCGGAAUUUUUAGAUUGUUUACUAUGUUAUAAAACAUUUUAAUCGUUAAUUGUGUAUAACAUUAAUACAUUUUCAUGUUUAAGAUU
rnacentral:lncRNA from 1 species